rnacentral:rRNA from 1 species
GGUGGUAAAUUGUCAGCAAGCUGCCAAGGCUGAUUUUGGCGAACCAUUGCAUUAAGAAUGACUAAGAUUUUUCGCACACAAGCAG